AUGCCUUCCAGCUCUUCCCUCAAGUCUAAACUCACUAGAUGUUAUAGCAAUUGAGUCAAUGAAGAGGUUGCCAGAUCUGUCAAAUUUGAAAAACUUAUCAAGACUACGUGUUUUAGAGUGUUCAAAAUUAAGGGAGAUUCCUGGCCUUGGAAGAUUAGAACUCCUAAUAGAAUUAUAUUUAGGUCGCUGCUAUAACCUACAUGAGAUUGAGGGUUUUGAGGCUUUGAAAUCCUUGAAGGAGCUAAACUUAUCAAGGUACAAGGCCUUGAAGAGGAUACCUGAUCUGUCAAGACUAACAAAUUUAAGGAAAUUAAUUAUUACAGAUUGCAUUGAUCUGAAUGAAAUUACGGGCCUUGAUAGAUUGGAAUCCUUGAAAGAUUUGAAUAUGAAAAGUUGCACAUCCUUGGAAAGAUUGCCUGAUCUAUCCAAAUUGGAAAAGCUGGAAGGAUUAAAUCUCCAUGACUGCGAGAAGCUACAUGAGAUCGAGGGUCUUGAGGCUUUGAAAUCCUUGAAGGAGCUGAACUUAUCAAGCUGUUUCUUGGAGAGGAUACCUGAUUUGUCCAAACUAACAAAGUUAAGGACAUUGGACAUUUCUGGAGGCACUUCACUAGGAAAAUUACCGGACCUUCCAAAUGGCUGUUUUGUUAAGGGUGGAGAGCACGCAAGUCACUGGUAAAAUUGGUGGAUGUUAUGGUAAUUAUCUAUUUUCUGCCAAUCUAUUUUGCCUUCGUAUGAUGGUUUUUUCCCCCUUAAUUGAUUGUAACUGUGAUUGUUUCUCUGUUCUCUUUGUGUGUUUUCAUUUCAGCGUUCUACUUUGAGGUGAUUUCGAGACUAUGGCUCAGUUUGAAGUGUGAAUGGAGUAAUGGAGACAUCGUUCUAUAAUUCUUGUUGAUUUUAGGGCUCAAUUUCACAAUUGAAGCUCCAAAUUCACACAUGCAUGCCAAAAGAAUGAAUGAAAGAUCAAUUCUAUAAUCUCUUCAACUUCCAGAGGCCAUUAAUCUGUUAGGGCUUCAUUUCAUGCAUUCAAUCAAUCUCUGAACAUAGAGAGACAAUCUUCGCUCGAGGAAUGCAUAUAGAGGAUAGUUCGAAAUUUCGGACAAGUGUUUGUUCAAUUUGGAUUUGGUUGCCGUCACUGCCCAUCCAUCGUUGGUGCACUUGAUUGUUGAUGCUGUGAGGGUUGGGUGCUGCCUGUCGACUCUGUGUUGGUGUCAUUCGACUUGUCCUCCUCUUCACUGCCUUUUAUCAAAUUUUGAUGCUGUGGUGCUCUUUAGUUAAUUUCCUUUGGUGGUGUUAUUGGAUGAUGCUGCUGCUCUUCAAUUAUCUUUGGUUAAUAUGGCAGAUCUGAAGUAUACUAGUGUGCUUAAUUUCCUCAGCCUUGUAUAUUGUACAUUUGUGAGUUUGUAUAAUUUUUUGGACUUACAAUAUUACUCGUAAUACACUA